AGCGAACGCUGGCGGCAGGCUUAACACAUGCAAGUCGAACGGGCAUCUUCGGAUGUCAGUGGCAGACGGGUGAGUAACCCGUGGGAACGUACCCUUCGGUUCGGAAUAACUCAGGGAAACUUGAGCUAAUACCGGAUACGCCCUUUUGGGGAAAGGUUUACUGCCGAAGGAUCGGCCCGCGUCUGAUUAGCUUGUUGGUGGGGUAACGGCCUACCAAGGCGACGAUCAGUAGCUGGUCUGAGAGGAUGAUCAGCCACACUGGGACUGAGACACGGCCCAGACUCCUACGGGAGGCAGCAGUGGGGAAUAUUGGACAAUGGGCGCAAGCCUGAUCCAGCCAUGCCGCGUGAGUGAUGAAGGCCUUAGGGUUGUAAAGCUCUUUUGUCCGGGACGAUAAUGACGGUACCGGAAGAAUAAGCCCCGGCUAACUUCGUG
rnacentral:rRNA from 1 species